CGAAAAGCUGAAGUGGUGGACAUUUUAAGCCGUGGCAGUCUCUCCUUGCGCUAGGUGUUCCUCGGUUUUGCAGCAGUAACCAUCCUAGAAGGAAAUUCUCUGCAGUCUGAAUCUUUGCUGAGCGUUUCUGCACUGCUUUAGGGGACUUCCUACAAGCACUGAACUAACGGCAGUGAGAGGAUUGCUUAAAGGAUGUAUUUUGCAAACCGCCCAUCACACGACUUGCUGAAAACCACAUUCAAGGCCCAAAGCUUCCUUUUGCAGAUGAGGCAACUGUGGAGAACAGGCCCGCGAUCCCGCCAGAGGAUCCCCAAACUAGCUCUCCACAAACAGCCCCAGACUGAAAUACCCCUGACCUCAUGGAAAUGGCCUGAUGUAAUGCCUGAAGCUGGGGAAGAAAGUGGCUCAUUGCAGCUUGAAGAGACACCUGUCCUUUAGAUUCAUUCCUCCAAGAGUCUCAGCCUACCUGCCUGCCUUACUGUGACUCAGAGGUCCUGAAUGGGCAGUGGGGGAGGCCCACAUGAUAUGAUAAGCAAUAGAGACCCAGAGAACUGAAACCCCCGAUCCAACAGCCUGUGAGACACCAAAGCCUGAAAACCACCAUGUGAGUAAGCUUGGAAGUGGAUCCUUCACCCCAGCCUUUGUUUUUUCAGAGGGCGAUGUUUCUUGGCUAUCUUCCCAGAUUCUCAAACUUUGCUCACGCAGUACGGAAAAAUAAAAUUCUCCUUGCGAAGCACGGUAAAGAGGAAACAGAAACCAUUUGAGCUAAUGUCAUUAUCUUGUUACAUCAGUUAAUUCUGAAAGUUUUCACAGGAACCUAGAGAAUAUAACAAGACAAGAGAAGACACGAAGCUCUCAAUGGCAGCACCCGGCUGGCUUGGAUGGUGGAGUGUAUGAUUCUUGCUCUCAGGGUGGUAAGCUUGAGUCCCAUGUUGAGUGUAGAGAUAACUUAAAAAUAAAAUCUUAAAAAAGAA